AGUCGAGGGGCAGCGGUGGUGAAGGCUUGCCUUUACCAGCCGGCGACCGGCGCACGGGUGAGUAACACGUAUGCAACCUGCCUGCCACAGCCGGAUAAUCGGGAGAAAUCCCGUCUAAUACGGCAUAAUGCACCUAUGGGACAUCCUGUUGGUGCCAAAGGUUAAUUCCGGUGGCGGAUGGGCAUGCGUCGCAUUAGUUAGUUGGCGGUGUAACGGACCACCAAGACGACGAUGCGUAGGGGUUCUGAGAGGAAGGUCCCCCACACUGGUACUGAGACACGGACCAGACUCCUACGGGAGGCAGCAGUGAGGAAUAUUGGUCAAUGGGCGGGAGCCUGAACCAGCCAAGUCGCGUGAGGGAUGACGGCCCUAUGGGUUGUAAACCUCUUUUGCCGGGGAGCAAAGUGCCGCACGUGUGCGGUUUGGAGAGUACCCGGAGAAAAAGCAUCGGCUAACUCCGUGCCAGCAGCCGCGGUAAUACGGAGGAUGCGAGCGUUAUCCGGAUUUAUUGGGUUUAAAGGGUGCGUAGGCGGACGCUUAAGUCAGCGGUAAAAUUGCGGGGCUCAACCUCGUCGAGCCGUUGAAACUGGGUGCCUUGAGUGGGCGAGAAGUACGCGGAAUGCGUGGUGUAGCGGUGAAAUGCAUAGAUAUCACGCAGAACUCCGAUUGCGAAGGCAGCGUACCGGCGCCCAACUGACGCUGAAGCACGAAGGCGUGGGUAUCGAACAGGAUUAGAUACCCUGGUAGUCCACGCAGUAAACGAUGAAUGCUAGUUGU
rnacentral:rRNA from 1 species